rnacentral:rRNA from 1 species
GACGAACGCUGGCGGCGUGCUUAACACAUGCAAGUCGAACGGAAAGGCCCUGCUUUUGUGGGGUGCUCGAGUGGCGAACGGGUGAGUAACACGUGAGUAACCUGCCCUUGACUUUGGGAUAACUUCAGGAAACUGGGGCUAAUACCGGAUAGGAGCUCCUGCUGCAUGGUGGGGGUUGGAUCGUUUCGGCGGUUGGGGAUGGACUCGCGGCUUAUCAGCUUGUUGGUGGGGUAGUGGCUUACCAAGGCUUUGACGGGUAGCCGGCCUGAGAGGGUGACCGGCCACAUGAGGACUGAGAUACGGCCCAGACUGCUACGGGAUGCAGUAGUGGGGAAUAUUGCACAAUGGGCGGAAGCCUGAUGCAGCAACGCCGCGUGCGGGAUGACGGCCUUCGGGUUGUAAACCGCUUUCGCCUGUGACGAAGCGUGAGUGACGGUAAUGGGUAAAGAAGCACCGGCUAACUACGUG